rnacentral:rRNA from 1 species
GACGAACGCUGGCGGCGUGCUUAACGCAUGCAAGUCGAACGGAAAGGCCCUGCUUUUGUGGGGUGCUCGAGUGGCGAACGGGUGAGUAACACGUGAGUAACCUGCCCUUGACCUUGGGAUAACUUCAGGAAACUGGGGCUAAUACCGGAUAGGAGCUCCUGCUGCAUGGUGGGGGUUGGAAAGUUUCGGCGGUUGGGGAUGGACUCGCGGCUUAUCAGCUUGUUGGUGGGGUAGUGGCUUACCAAGGCUUUGACGGGUAGCCGGCCUGAGAGGGUGACCGGCCACAUUGGGACUGAGAUACGGCCCAGACUCCUACGGGAGGCAGCAGUGGGGAAUAUUGCACAAUGGGCGGAAGCCUGAUGCAGCAACGCCGCGUGCGGGAUGACGGCCUUCGGGUUGUAAACCGCUUUCGCCUGUGACGAAGCGUGAGUGACGGUAAUGGGUAAAGAAGCACCGGCUAACUACGUG